rnacentral:rRNA from 1 species
UACGGAGGGGGCUAGCGUUGUUCGGAAUUACUGGGCGUAAAGCGCACGUAGGCGGCUUUGUAAGUUAGAGGUGAAAGCCCGGGGCUCAACUCCGGAAUUGCCUUUAAGACUGCAUCGCUAGAAUUGUGGAGAGGUGAGUGGAAUUCCGAGUGUAGAGGUGAAAUUCGUAGGUAUUCGGAAGAACACCAGUGGCGAAGGCGACUCACUGGACACAUAUUGACGCUGAGGUGCGAAAGCGUGGGGAGCAAACAGG